GAUUAUUUAGUAUAAUUUAUUACUUUAGACUGUAAAUCUAAUAAUGGCACUGUCAAUAAUCA
rnacentral:tRNA from 1 species